GAGCUGCUCUGAACGGAGUCAGCGCGUUUUGUCUCCAUCUGCCGCCCUGUUUGAACCAAACACAAUCAUCAUCACAGCCGUGAUGAAGACUACAAUUCGCUAACAAAAUGAAACAAAACACCUAAGAGCAUCUCUAUUUUUUUUAUUGUCAGGUCAUAUAGCCUAACAUAUAAUAGCCAGAGCCAUUAAAACCAUAAAAUACCGUGGCCGCGUCUGACUGCCGUGCGCUUUUUACCAAGAACACAAGCGUUUACGGUUUAUUUCUGCACGUUCACACGGCGCAUUACGGCAGUGGUGCUGAUGCGGGAUGAGUCAGGCUAUCUGAAGCCGCUGCCAUUUCAUCAUAAGCGAACAACACACACACACACACACACACACAUACAUGCACGCACACACACAUACAUGCACGCACACACACACACACACACACUCACACGCACACGCACGCACACACACACACACACACACACACACACACACACACACACACUACGCGACGCGUAGCCUUUUCCCCACACCAGCACCGCCACGGAGCUUCUCUUAGAGGAGAGAAAAAGACGGUGUAUUUUACACCGGAAUCUGAGCCACUUCGGUUCCGUGCGCUGUGGAUCGUGAUCGCGCGGGGGGCGGUGUGAACGCGCAAAGGAUUCGUGCUGCACCUGCCUCGUCUCCCUGCCAUCUCAUACAGGGCCCGUCUCCCUACGAGGAGAUCCAACGCUUCAGACCGCGGUUGAUCACACUGCUCCCGGGUUGGAGGUCGCUGCUGGGGGUCUCUCCGGAGGAUUUGGUGUUUCCUGAGGGUCUCUGCGCCAUGGAGCUGAGCGCCUGUUAAAGCCCGCUCCGGAACGGCGCUAUAACAUCGCGAUAGACGAGGCGGCCAUGGAGGCGAUAUGGUUGUACCAGUUCCGGCUGAUCGUCAUCGGGGACUCGACCGUGGGCAAGUCCUGCCUCAUCCGCCGCUUCACCGAGGGACGCUUCGCUCAGGUGUCGGACCCCACGGUCGGCGUGGACUUCUUCUCGCGCCUCGUGGAGAUAGAACCCGGCAAGAGGAUCAAACUGCAGAUCUGGGACACCGCGGGGCAGGAGCGCUUCAGGUCCAUCACCAGGGCCUACUACCGCAACUCGGUGGGCGGGCUCCUCCUCUUCGACAUCACCAACCGCCGCUCCUUCCAGAACGUCCACGAUUGGCUGGAGGAGGCCCGUAGCCACGUGCAGCCCCACAGCAUCGUCUUCCUAUUGGUCGGCCACAAGUGCGACCUGGAGGCCCAGCGUCAGGUGACCCGGCAGGAGGCGGAGAAGCUGGCGGGCGCGUACGGCAUGCGCUACGUGGAGACCUCGGCGCGGGACGCCAUCAACGUGGAGCACGCCUUCACCGAGCUGACGCGGGACAUCUUCGCCCUGGUGCGCUCGGGCGACAUCACCAUCCAGGAGGGCUGGGAGGGCGUCAAGAGCGGCUUCGUGCCCAACGUGGUCCACUCCUCCGAGGAGGUGACCAAGAGCGACCGCCGCUGCCUCUGCUGAUCCCGGGAGAGAGGAGGGCCGAGGAAGAGGAGCAGGAGGAGGAGGAGUAGCAGGAGCAGGAGCAGGUGGAGGAGGAGUUGGACAAGGAGCAGGAGGAGGUGGUGGAGGUGGAGGAGGAAGGGGGAUGGGUUGUUGUUGAUCCGCGGGACGGGGAGGAAGAGGAAGAGGAGAAGGUGGGGACAGACGAGGAUGGACGCCGCAUUGGUGGAUGGCGUGGACUGUUGUUUUUUUCCCUUGCCUACUAUUGGUCAGCCUCGUCGCCUCCUGUGUUCUGAUUGGACGUUGGGGAGCAUGACAGGUAAAUGGGGGGGGAGGACAUGCUGAUUGACAUCAGGACACAGACAGAGGAUUCCGAAGACACCGAUUGGCUGGAUUUGCACUACCCUACCCACCAAUGUCCCCUGCUUCCUCCUGUCUUCUGAUCGGACGUUGAGGAGGACGAUUGACAGAGCAUGAGGGGAAGAAGGGAACGGAACAGCACCUUUUGUUUACUUUGGAUUUUGUUUACUUGGAGGCUUCAUGUUACCAGGUUGUUUUAUCGUUCAGGAGAUCAUUUCGUUUAUCUGUUUGCUGGCUGGAAGUUUCUGUCCAGAAGCAGCUGAGCCAUAUCAACGGUUAGUUCGGAGUUGUUCAGACCCUACCUUUUACACUUCUUGCUUGGGUCGGAUCCGUUUCUUCUCCAUCGCUUUGCCUCCUCCUCCCGAUUGGGCUCCUCUCUUCCUUUUUAUGCAAUCACACACUCCCCGAGAGGAGGUCCUGGUACGAAUGAACGUUGGUGUGUGACCAUUUUAACAAGCCAUCGAACCACGAAACUAUAUACUCUCCGUUUACUAGGAUUCACUCCCCACGAAACCCGCCAUUCCUCGUUAUGAAACCAUUCAGCCAUUCACACCAGACGACACAUACUCAUUUUGAACAAUGCCAUGGAUGCCCCAAGUUGAGCGCAACUUUAAGACCAAAUGGUCCCCCCCCUAUCUCUCAAAAGGAAAGGGAAAUGUCCUGGGAGGUAUCCUCCAGAGAAGGGGGAGGGGUGCCCUCUCCAACAUGGACGCCCUGAAAAACGCAUACAAAAUUUAAAACAACCAACACUACAGUUACAUAAAGGGUUAGCCCCUACUGUCCCUGCGCCUGCAGGCUUUAAAGACAAACUGGCCCCUACUUGAGACAACCACAGCUGCAAGGGGGAGCUGGCGGAUCUUAGUUUAACGUGAGUUAGACACAAGACUGCGUGUUUGUAAUAUAACAUCAAAGCAAUGACCUGCGUUUCCAUUGCACUUCUGAAGUCUCCACCACGAUAUGGACGUCCUCCCACUAUAGCAUAGCAAAACCAAGGGCGCACACCACACUCAUAAUAACCGUGGUAUCUUACCUACUGGGGACGUUUGUGUCCGAGGAGGAUGGGAUAGCUUUAGUUGGAGCACAAGGUCAUCUCCAGUCUGACCUGGGAAGUACCUAGCCAUGCCGGUACUGGCUGGGGAGGAGCCUUCAGCACCAUCUGGUGGUCGGUUUUGAUGCUGCGUUUAAUAUUUUGGAAUUCAGGGGAAACUGAAUCCCCUAGUUUACUUAGGUCAUGUGGCUUAAUUUUAUUUUAUCAUUCCAAACGCACAUGCAAUAUGCUUGGAUAUGACUGGUGUGCCACCUCCUAGAUAGAUCAAAUGCUAUCGGAUAUUGAUUUGGAGCAUCUGCAUUAAAUCUUUGAUAUCAAUGAUUCAAAGGGGAAUUAAGCGGCAACGCUUAAUUCCAACCUUUAAAAGGUUGACGGUGAGGAGUCUAUGCGUUGGUGAAGAAACACUAAAAUGAGUUUAGUCAUCUGUUCCUCCAGAAGUCUGCUGUACCUGAACCGUUUUAAUUCCUCUUGUAGGACCUUUCACCGAAUAGGGUCCCUAUUAGAACCCCCAGUGUCACGUUGAGCCAUUACAAGACAUCAAAUCAUCCCUCUUAAGUGUCCACCCAGAUGGAUGAGGGAUGACUCGACCAGCAUACAUACAGUGCACCAAUGGAAACCUCCCGGCUUGUGUACACCCUUUUAUUAGGAUGUCACGCAGGAACUGAUUUCGGACUUAACGUCCGGUCAAGGAUGGGUUUUGUUUUAAUCUCUAGUGUUCCUGAGCUUCCUGCCUUCCAAGGUUCAUCCAAUGUUCCCGGCUCGCCUUCUUAUUUUGAAAUGGACAAUUGGUAAAAAGGUUAAGGGCCUCUGCACUUUGAAGAGCGUUUUCACACUUUGCUUUAUCCAAUUUGGACCGGCACACUUUGAGGAAGUAGUAGGAAGUAGACGUCAGCAUAAUGAGUCAUGUUUUUCAGACUAAUCCCCAUCAGUUUAUGACCUCACUGCUGAACACUGAAUCAAACCUAUUUGGAAAAAGGGGCAAGGAAAUCUCACUUUAAACCUGAGCAAUGCCUGGAAUAGACAGUGUUUGGUUUGAUGCUGUAUGUUGCUGGUCUGGUUGUGGUCCCUGAUACACUUGUAGAAUUUCUUUCUCCAAGAGGAACGCGCUUUGGUUCUCUAUUUCCACGGCAGUCAAUAAGUCACCCUCCCUCUCUCUGCUCUACAACUUAUCUAUCCAUCAACUAGAAAUGUACAUUUUAAAACAAAAUAAAAUGACUGGUAAAAAAUAA